GAUCAUGGCUCAGAUUGAACGCUGGCGGCAGGCCUAACACAUGCAAGUCGAACGGUAACAGGAAGAAGCUUGCUUCUUUGCUGACGAGUGGCGGACGGGUGAGUAAUGUCUGGGAAACUGCCUGAUGGAGGCGGGAUAACUACUGGAAACGGUAGCUAAUACCGCAUAACGUCGCAAGACCAAAGAGGGGGACCUUCGGGCCUCUUGCCAUCGGGAUGUGCCCAGAUGGGAUUAGCUAGUAGGG
rnacentral:rRNA from 1 species